rnacentral:rRNA from 1 species
UACGAAGGGGGCUAGCGUUGCUCGGAAUUACUGGGCGUAAAGGGAGCGUAGGCGGAUAGUUUAGUCAGAGGUGAAAGCCCAGGGCUCAACCCUGGAAUUGCCUUUGAUACUGGCUAUCUUGAGUAUGGGAGAGGUUAGCGGAACUCCGAGUGUAGAGGUGAAAUUCGUAGAUAUUCGGAAGAACACCAGUGGCGAAGGCGGCUCACUGGCCCGAUACUGACACUGAGGCACGAAGGCCAGGGGAGCAAACGGG